CACCAGCAUCAUCAGGGAAACCCAGGAGGGGGGGACAGCACAGCCACCUGCACCUGACAACUUAGUGACAUUCCAAAAGCUCACUUUCUAAGUCAGUUUCAAAAUACAGCAGAGUUGAAAGAAUUUGGAGUGAAUACUGCAAAUACUAUUUGGAUGCUGUCAGUGGUUAAGGUGUGGCCACGCCGCGUGGGAGCGGGCCUUAAUCCAUGGCUGAAGUCCUCAUACACCAAGGAAGUUGGACACGGAAAGAGAAGCCAGAAGUCAGUGGAAGCUGGAGAAUAAGGCAGAGCACCGUGCGGCGGAGGCUGAGACGCAAGCCAGGGAGCCCAAGGAGCCAGGACACUAAGCUCCUUCUAUCCUCCCUACUGGGAAACGAUUAAUUCCAUUGCUUAAGCCAACCAGUGUCUUGUGUUUUUCACAGCAGCCCUGGCAAACUAAGACACAUUGUAUGACAAUACCACAGUUUGUUUAUCCAUUUUCCUACCGAUGGACACUUGGGCUAUUUCUGCUUUUUUGGUUAUUACAAAUACAUCUGCUCCAAGCAUUCUUGUACAGCUCUGUC